CUCUGUACUAACACAGACACCAGUGUCAUUUGGUGUAGAGGCAUCUAAAAUACACACUACACUGUUUCAGUCUACAUCUGCCAUGACUUUGGAAACUAAUGUUCUGGAGAAAAAAGGAUCAGAUUGUUACAAGCAGUAUACAUCACUUAUCUAUGAUUGUAUUGAGCUUAAUUCUUCAAGUGAUGAAGAAGGAGUACAGUUUGCUGAGAAUUCAUCUGUCCGCUUACAUGAUGGAGAUCAAGUAACUCUUCAUGAUGUUAUCACAAAUCUUGCCCUACAAAUAGAUGAAGAUGCAGUUUCAAAGUUCAAUAUUGAUAGAAUAAAUAUAUGGGAUGGUGCACUUCGUGGAUUUAAGCGCAAAACAUACAAGCCAGAAAAUAGAAUGUCUGUAAUGUUUACUGACUCAGAUGGCAACUCGGAAGGAGCUGUGGACCGAGGUGGUCCUAC